UUUUUCAUACAUGUUCCUAGGUAUUAUACCUAUGUUUCCUAGUUGUUUCCAACACUCCAAGGUACUUCUAAAAGUCAAGAACUCAUCCGUAACAUGUGAUCAAACACCUUGAAUCCAAAAUUUCAAUUCAAGGUGAGUUAGUUAGAAGUCAAGUGAAGUUAGAAGUUAAGAGUUAAGCUUAGAAGUUAAGCAAGUCAAGCAAGUUGUAAAGUUGUUCAAGAGUCUUUAUUGAACGUUUUAACUUCAUUUUUAGACUCAAGUGUCAAGUCAAGCAAAGAGCUUAGAGUUUCAAGCUAAGUAAAGAGUCUCAAAUUUCAAGUUGAGUAAAG
rnacentral:lncRNA from 1 species